CUACGUGCCAGCAGCCGCGGUAAUACGUAGGGCGCGAGCGUUGUCCGGAAUUAUUGGGCGUAAAGAGCUUGUAGGCGGUUUGUCGCGUCUGCUGUGAAAGGCCGGAGCUUAACUCCGUGUAUUGCAGUGGGUACGGGCAGACUAGAGUGCAGUAGGGGAGACUGGAAUUCCUGGUGUAGCGGUGGAAUGCGCAGAUAUCAGGAGGAACACCGAUGGCGAAGGCAGGUCUCUGGGCUGUAACUGACGCUGAGAAGCGAAAGCAUGGGGAGCGAACAGGAUUAGAUACCCUGGUAGUCCAUGCCGUAAACGAUGAUUACUGGGUGUGGGCAUGAAGAGUGUCCGUGCCGAAGCAAAUGCGAUAAGUAAUCCGCCUGGGGAGUACGGCCGCAAGGCUGAAACUCAAAGGAAUUGACGGGGACCCGCACAAGCGGUGGAGCAUGUGGUUUAAUUCGACGCAACGCGAGGAACCUUACCAGAUCUUGACAUCCC
rnacentral:rRNA from 1 species